rnacentral:rRNA from 1 species
UGGGGAAUCUUGCACAAUGGGGGCAACCCUGAUGCAGCGACGCCGCGUGAGCGAUGAAGCCCUUCGGGGCGUAAAGCUCUUUCGACCGGAACGAUAAUGACGGUACCGGGAGGAGAAGCUGCGGCUAACUACGUGCCAGCAGCCGCGGUAAUACGUAGGCAGCAAGCGUUGUUCGGAGUUACUGGGCGUAAAGAGUGCGUAGGCGGUUUUCUAAGUUCGGUGUGAAAUCUCCCGGCUUAACUGGGAGGGUGCGCCGAAGACUGGGAAGCUGGAGUGUGGGAAAGGCAGGCGGAAUUCCUGGUGUAGCGGUGAAAUGCGUAGAUAUCAGGAGGAACACCGGCGGUGUAGACGGCUUGCUAGACCAUAACUGACGCUGAGGCACGAAAGCGUGGGUAGCAAACA